rnacentral:rRNA from 1 species
ACGGCCAUACAACAUUGAAAACACCAGUUCUCGUCCGAUCACCGAAGUUAAGCAAUGUCGGGCCCGGUCAGUACUUAGGAGGGUAACCACCUGGGAACACCGGGUGCUGUAGGCU